UUCUUAUUGCUAUUAUGGUAAAACUGUGCUAUUAAUCCACAGAUCACAUGCAUGCUGAACCAUGGUGCCUGGUCCGUGUGAUCUGUUUAACCCCUAAUAAUUAUUUAUCAUAUCACAGUUGACCAAAUUGUGCAGCCUGGACAAAAAAAUGGGUUAUGAGCCUGUCAAAUCUUUCUAUAACUGUCCCUCUUUUAUCCCUAUCUUUCCUGAAGAUCUCUUCUUCAGCACAGAUCUAAAGGAAGAAGUUAAGGAACUGGAGGAUAUUACAAGCUCUCAGGGGCUGGCACCCGCCCAUUAGUGGACCAACAGCUUCUCUAUACUUGUCCAUAUUAAGGGCUAUGCUUGUGUUGGAGCUUGUGAAGGUUGGGGAGAAAACUCUCAGAGAUGGCUUGGUUUAGGAUGAUGUCAACAUGGCCAAGCUAAACAAUUUUAUCUCUGCUGAGCUGUGUGACGCAGGCAUGCAGGCUCUAGAGAGAGCAACCAGGAGUCUGUAGAGAAGUUUCAGCAGCUCUCUCUGGCCACAUGGACAUACUGCAGGUCUCUCAAUGAGCACAAGGGGGACGCACGAACCUACAUUACAAAUAUAAAAACACUAUUGUAUUCACAGCAACAAGUGAUGCAUGUUUGAACGAAAGAAUGAAUGUUCAAACCUACAAUAUAUAUGAUUUAAAAAAUUUAAAAAAUUUUAAAGUCUUAUUUAUUGUUAGUUGCAAGAGAAUAUUUGCUGCAUAAGAAUGCUGAGUUGAUAAGAUUGUUAUUGACAGUUUAUAAACCUUUAAAACACAUUUUAGAAGGGCGUUUCCAGUUUUCACUUAUACUGCCUCAUAGUAGAGCAGGCUAAAGACCAUUCACUGUGUUAUUUAUUUGUUUUAAGUCUGUGUAAAUGUUUCUCUGCUUGUUUGUUGUUGAGUAUGAUUGUUUGUAGGUAUUUAGUAUAUAUAUUUAUAUAUAUAUUUGCGGAAAAUGUGCACUUUGUUUAUGUUGGACAGUGUUUUAAUGCUAAACCUAUCUAAUGUAAUAAAAUGUAAUUUUUUGAAUGUG